UGCAGUCGAACGAUGAACCCGCUUCGGUGGGGGAUUAGUGGCGAACGGGUGAGUAACACGUGGGCAAUCUGCCCUGUACUUUGGGAUAAGCCUGGGAAACUGGGUCUAAUACCGGAUAUGACUUCUGCGGGCAUCCGUGGAAGUGGAAAGCUCCGGCGGUACGGGAUGAGCCCGCGGCCUAUCAGCUUGUUGGUGGGGUAAUGGCCUACCAAGGCGACGACGGGUAGCCGGCCUGAGAGGGUGACCGGCCACACUGGGACUGAGACACGGCCCAGACUCCUACGGGAGGCAGCAGUGGGGAAUAUUGCACAAUGGGCGCAAGCCUGAUGCAGCGACGCCGCGUGAGGGAUGACGGCCUUCGGGUUGUAAACCUCUUUCGCCAGGGACGAAGCGCAAGUGACGGUACCUGGAUAAGAAGCACCGGCUAACUACGUGCCAGCAGCCGCGGUAAUACGUAGGGUGCGAGCGUUGUCCGGAAUUAUUGGGCGUAAAGAGCUCGUAGGCGGUUUGUCGCGUCGUUCGUGAAAACUCCACGCUUAACGUGGAGCGUGCGGGCGAUACGGGCAGACUUGAGUUCGGUAGGGGAGACUGGAAUUCCUGGUGUAGCGGUGAAAUGCGCAGAUAUCAGGAGGAACACCGGUGGCGAAGGCGGGUCUCUGGGCCGAUACUGACGCUGAGGAGCGAAAGCGUGGGGAGCGAACAGGAUUAGAUACCCUGGUAGUCCACGCUGUAAACGUUGGGCGCUAGGUGUGGGCGACAUCCACGUUGUCCGUGCCGUAGCUAACGCAUUAAGCGCCCCGCCUGGGGAGUACGGCCGCAAGGCUAAAACUCAAAGGAAUUGAC
rnacentral:rRNA from 1 species